GGUGUUGGUUCACUAGGAAGGUGACACCCCAGAAUAAGCUACUUGGGAGGACUAUGAUUCUUUUGUAACUAGAUUCCCUGAUUUUAAAUUUUGAAAAACCUAGUGGAUAAGGUUUUACUUGAGGAAGGGUUAAUGUUAGGAUUCGUGAUUAGCUUAAUCACAAUCAGGAAUUAGUAGUGGAAGUAGACUUUUAUUAAGAGAAUAACUAGUUAAAUGUGUUUGCUGCCACCUGUCAAGUGAUGUAAGGGGACUAUAUGUACACACACUUUUGGUGUGAGAGCCAUAAGGGUCAUUUGAAUUAGAAAAUAUUAUUUCACAAAAACAAACAAGAGCUCCACUCUUCUUCUCUCUUCCUCCUUCUCCUCCAUUGUUACCCUUACUUGCAGUUGAGUAAGGAUUUGGAAUCGGGUCAUAACAGGGACCUCUUCACCGGCGCCGAGUAGUUCUGCUACAAGCACUAUGCCUCUCCGCCUCACGACCUCAUCUGGGUCGGUGAACUUUUCCUCUCCUCCUCUCAGCUUCGCGAACCUUCUGCCUCCUCUGGCUCUGUCCAGUACUGAUCCUGGUCCAAGUUAGAUCACUUCAUUUCUUAUACACCGCAAGUUGAGGACCAGAGCUUCCCAGAAGAACCGAUCAAUCCGCUGGCUGCGAACAGUGAAGGCACGUACAUUAUUAGCGAAGGCGCAUCAGGGAAUAUCUACUUGUGGGAGGUUAAUACUGGUAGACUGCUUAAGAAAUGGUAUGCUCACUACAGGUGUUAGUUGCUUGGUAUUUCGGGAUGAAUGCUCCCUGCUGAUUUCGAGGUCGGAGGAUGAAGGCAUUAAAGUUUGGUCUCUUACACGGUAACCACUUCUUAUCUUACAUUUUUGGAUCUUUAUAUUGUUUUUAAUUAUGCACUGAAAACGGUUAUAUCUCUAUGCGUUGAAUCUCACAGAUUAUUCAGUGAUUAUCAAAGUCAACAAGAAAGCCAUUUGUACAUUCAUAACUUUACGGAGCACACUCUUUGUCUAACGGAUGCGGUUGCAGGAUAUGGUGGAGGCAACCAUUAUCGUGCCAGCAUCUCAGGAUCACACGUGUAAGUUAUCACAUGUUCUUUAGUAAAUUGUAAACAGUGUUUGGUAUAAUAUAUAAUAAUGUUAUGUAGCAAAUCAUGAACUAAACAAUGAUGACAAAGUUAUCAUGAGCUGAACAAUGAUGACAAAGUUAAUUCAAAUGGGGUCUGAGGGUAUUACAAGAACAAUUUCACCC